rnacentral:rRNA from 1 species
UACGUAGGGGGCAAGCGUUGUCCGGAUUUAUUGGGCGUAAAGAGCGUGUAGGCGGCCACACAGGUCUGCUGUGAAAACUCGAGGCUCAACCUCGAGCUGUCGGUGGAAACCGUGUGGCUAGAGUCCGGAAGAGGAGAGUGGAAUUCCCGGUGUAGCGGUGAAAUGCGCAGAUAUCGAGAGGAACACCGGUGGCGAAGGCGGGUCUCUGGGCCGAUACUGACGCUGAGACGCGAAAGCGUGGGGAGCAAACAGG